CCAAAAGUCAGUCAAAAGAACUUUUUGCAACGGGCGUUUGAAUGUUGCAAAAAGUGAAAUUCGCAACGUUCUUUUCAAAAAACGUUGUAACAGGUGUUAAACUUUUUAAAAUUGAUUCUAUGUAAACCAAAAGAAGAACUCUUCAGACAUUAGCCCUAAUUUUUCCAUCUUCUCUCAUGGCCGCCUCACUCUUCUCGUUACUUCCUCUCGCAAUACUUCAUUCCCUUUCCCAUAAUAGAGCCAAAAUAAUCCAAACCCUAAACCGAUUCAUUCACCUCACAUCGCCGGAAUUUAUAGUUGUCGUUGGGAGCAGCCAGACUUGAGUCACAGGUGGACAACAAUGGUGGCUGCUGUAACUACUUUUUAUUUCCUUCUCAUUGCUGACUAUUGUACUGAACCAAAUGCUUUUGACCAAGUAAGUGCGUUCGUAUGAGCACGUGUUCUAAAUUAAUUUAGAUUUCUUGAUGGGUUUUCCUUUGUUUUUUGUAUUCUUUAUACACAUCUGUUAGUGAACUUAAAUUCUUUAAUGUCUGGUUGUGCUUUAGUUUAUUGUGUUUCUCUUCGCGGACGCGCAGUUGGGAAAGCGCGUUUAAUCGGAUAUCGAGACUUGGGUUCCAUUUUCAUGGUUUGUUUUAAUUUUUAGGCGAAAGGAGAUUUUACCCUUGAACACCCAACUUGGACUUUUGAAUCGUCAGUGAUAUAGGGAAGAAAUUUGAGGCUAGUAUCUCUCACGGUCUUCAUUAUGUUUAAGUUAAUUGAAAACGGGGAAAUAAAGUUUUAUUAGAAGUAAAAUUCAGUUUGAUUUGUUUUCUUGUUAAUUAAAGCCAUUCAGAAGAAUCCUUAGGCAACAAAAUGGCAAUAGAAAUCUUUCUGAAUUUCUAAUGCACAAAUCAAAUUCAUAGGAUGGUAUGAUUUCUAAAGAUGCCAAGAGCAGAGGAUCGGUAGAGAUAGAUGAGGAUGUGUGCUCAAGCUCCACUUUGACAAUUUUGAUCACGAAAUAUAACGAAAAUGUAGAUUCCCUAAUUUCUAGAUUGGUGCAAAAUGUAUUUGGGCAUAGUUAAGUACUAUUACGAGUAGCAUGGACUCUAAUAUUUUUUUUUCUUCUAAAGGCUAGCUUUUAAUAGAAGUUUUUCUUAUGGUUUUUUAUCUCCUCACGUACUUGAUUAGCUUGCUUUGAAGUCCCAAAAUGAAGAGAGAACACUUGCAAGUUGCAAUGCCAUUUUUUCAACUGAUCCAGUAAUUAGCAUAUGCAAUAUGCUUAGUUGAUUGAAUGUACAAAUUUUUAAUCGAGUGGCCAUCCAUUGAUACAAGUACUUCGUAUCUGUAACUCUGGCUACACAGGAAACACAAAUGUAGCUCUGACAUUUGAACUGCAAUGGUCAGCAUUUGAAUUUUUUAUUAUAUCCUAUUAACGUCCCUAAUCUAUGGUUACACAAAUAAGCUUCUAAUGAUUGAGCUCAAAUUCCAGAUCAAUUUUUAUUGAUUGAACAUAGAAUUUUGUUCUAUAUUAAUGGAAAAAUAUCUAGCAAUCAAAUAAAUAAAACAACAGAUAGUGAUAAAAUCAUUUUUAUGAGUUGGAGGUUUUAUAAUUUCUGAUCUUUACCAUUCCAUGCAACUCUGCAUUGUAAGUUAUAAGUUAAAAGAUGAUGAGGUGUUCAUGCGUUUUUGAAUGCUUUUUGGGAAAAUUUAAUCAAAUAGCAGGAUGAUAGAUGACUACUACACAUUGAGAAUGUAUGUAUUUACAUGUCCAUAGUGGCAGGUAGAGAGUUUUUGCAGCAUGCUUUUUAAAUGCUUUUUGCAGCAUGAUCCUACACAUUAUUUACAUGUCCAUAGAGUUUUUGAAUGCUUUCUGCAACAUAAUAGAUGACUACUACACAUUGAGAAUGUAUGUAUCUACAUGUCCAUAGAGUGGCUGAACCAACAGCUGUUAUUUGUCCUUUUGCUAUUGUAAUUUUUGAGUAUUUCCUUUGGGAGAUAAAGCUACUGUUAUGCCCUGAAUUAAUUUCUUUAACUAAAUUCUAAUUUGUAGAAGUCGAAUAAAAAAAAUUACAUUUUGAUCCGAAGGAGUAAGGACAAAUUUUACGAAUCAUUUUAGAGGAUAUCAUACUGCUUACAGGUUUUAUGCAAAGCUAUAGACUGAAACUGAGAUUGACUAUGGACCUUUCUUAUGAAACUAGUGGUGAUAUCCUUCUUUUUUACAUACAUAUGUUUUUUUUCCUAACGUUAUAUUAUUUCCUUGAUUCCUCUUCAGGCAUUCUUUCCUUAUAGAUUGACAAAGGGUACAUGCCUCAUUUCAUUAUGAACAAGCAUAAAUCUCUGGUGGAGUUUGAAAAUGCUAGAGUUCUUGUGACUGCUCAAAAGAUAUCAACUGUGAAAGAUAUUGUGCCUUUGAAAAUGCUAGAGUUCUUAUGAUGUUUGAUAUCUCUACAGGGUUUAAUUCGUCAAAAAUGUGUGAUGGUAUAGCUUACAUUCGCAAGUGAAGAGAGGUGGAGUCUACAGAUGUUUGAUAUGGUGUUUGUCUCUAGCCAUCUACUUAGCUUACAAGGUGUAAAUUAUCUUCUUUUAUACAAUAAUUUUUUGUUGUUUAAGAGGAAUGUAAGAUGAUGUUUAUUUGAUGGCUAAUAUGUAAAUCAAAAUUUUUCUUCGAUUUAUUACAAUGAUGUGUUUUGAUUGCUUGGUAUGGAUUAAUAAAAUUAUAUCAAUUGAAGGCCC
rnacentral:lncRNA from 1 species